AAGAAAACAAAACCGGGAGACCGCGGAUAAUAUAGGAAACAGCGCCCCCUUCACUUCCGGAAUGCAAUGGUCUCAUUUCCAAAUAAGGUAUGAGACCUGUCUCUUCCUGUUUGCUGCAGCGAGGUCCUUCCGGGGAAAGACAGUUUGCUUCGGCGUGAGAGGAGCUAGCAGGGGAUGAGCAGCUAGCUGGUUUUAAGUGAGUAAGCUCAGACUAGUCAGGAGAAGUCCUAGUAAACUCUAACAAGCGAAUUAGCAGGACACGGCAGAGUUUCGGCGCUUGUUUUCUGUCGCUUAUGGUGAGAGUUAUGGUGCAGCUAGCCUAGUUCGCUAAUAAGGACUACUGUAAGCUGUCAAAGUGGGACUGAAGAAGCUGCAGAAGAUCGUUACCGGACUGGAUAACGACAGACGGACUUCAGAUGGUCCCUCUGAGGGCCGCGUCGCUCAGAGAACCUCUGGCUCCGUGGGAAACGAGGCCCUGGGCUGUGGACGUGGCUGUGGACGUGGAGACCACACAGCUGCACCAUUCCUGAGCUUCUGCUUCCUUCCGAUCGCAGAGAGGUCUUUCUGGACCGCAGGAUGAAGUCCUGCCCCGAUUAAUCUGUGGGAAAUCACGAUUACUCAAGCUCAGUGGAGAUCCGCCGACCAGGAGGAUCCACCUGGUAAAGAGAUGAGCGCUGCAGGUUUUAUCCAGAGGAAGAUUCAGAUCCAGAACCCGAACAGAACCUCUGGCUGAUCUCCGCCGUGCCGCGUCUUUCUGUCUCUACAAGGACCAAAUCAUUCAGAGCCUCACAGAAAACAGCAGGAUUACAAUAACUUUUAUUUAACAACAAAAUUAUUAAAACACUUUUGUUUUUUUAAACAUGAUUCUGUUUGACAGAAGCAAAAUAUCCUGGAAUAAAUUCAGCAUAGAAGCU